AUACGGAGGACGCGAGCGUUAUCCGGAUUCAUUGGGUUUAAAGGGUGCGCAGGCGGCCGUGCAAGUCAGCGGUGAAAGCCCGGGGCUCAACCCCGGAAGUGCCGUUGGUACUGCAUGGCUGGAAUGCGGUCGAGGCGGGCGGAACGUGGCGUGUAGCGGUGAAAUGCGUAGAUAUGCCACAGAACGCCGAUAGCGGAGGCAGGUGGCCAGGCCUGCAGUGACGCUCGGGCACGAAAGCGUGGGGAUCGAACAGUAUUAGAUACCCUGGUAGUCCACGCCGUAAACGAUGGGCGCUCGUCGUCGGCGGCAGACAGUCGGCGGCCAAGCGAAAGCGAUAAGCGCCCCACCUGGGGAGUACGGUCGCAAGGCUGAAACUCAAAUGAAUUGACGGGG
rnacentral:rRNA from 1 species